AUUUUAAAAUUGAGUUUUUGGAAAGAAAAGUAUAAUGCAUAAAUUUGUAACUAAAAAACCUAACUUAGCAAAGAAGUACCUACAUGUUCAUCACUUACAAGAUUUUUCUCCGAUUGCAGAAAAUUUUCAAAAAUCCACGAACACAU
ensembl:ncRNA F29G9.16 ncRNA